CCUACGGGAGGCAGCAGUGGGGAAUUUUGGACAAUGGGCGAAAGCCUGAUCCAGCAAUGCCGCGUGAGUGAAGAAGGCCUUCGGGUUGUAAAGCUCUUUUGUCAGGGAAGAAACGGUGAGAGCUAAUAUCUCUUGCUAAUGACGGUACCUGAAGAAUAAGCACCGGCUAACUACGUGCCAGCAGCCGCGGUAAUACGUAGGGUGCAAGCGUUAAUCGGAAUUACUGGGCGUAAAGCGUGCGCAGGCGGUUUUGUAAGUCUGAUGUGAAAUCCCCGGGCUCAACCUGGGAAUUGCAUUGGAGACUGCAAGGCUAGAAUCUGGCAGAGGGGGGUAGAAUUCCACGUGUAGCAGUGAAAUGCGUAGAUAUGUGGAGGAACACCGAUGGCGAAGGCAGCCCCCUGGGUCAAGAUUGACGCUCAUGCACGAAAGCGUGGGGAGCAAACAGGAUUAGAUACCCUGGUAGUCCACGCCCUAAACGAUGUCUACUAGUUGUCGGGUCUUAAUUGACUUGGUAACGCAGCUAACGCGUGAAGUAGACCGCCUGGGGAGUCGGUCGCAAGNUUAAAACGUCAAAUGAAAUUGACCGG
rnacentral:rRNA from 1 species